UCUUAUCUUUGAAAGUGCUAGC
rnacentral:miRNA from 1 species